rnacentral:rRNA from 1 species
UUCGCAAUGCCCGAAAGGGUGACGAAGCGACGCCGCGUGUGGGAAGAGGGCCUUCGGGUUGUAAACCACUGUUGGGAGUUAGGAAGUGUGGAGGUGUUAAUAGCGCUUUCACUUGACUAAAGCUCCAGAGGAAGCCACGGCUAACUCUGUGCCAGCAGCCGCGGUAAUACAGAGGCGGCAAGCGUUGUUCGGAAUUAUUGGGCGUAAAGAGCACGUAGGCGGCUCUGCAAGUCAGCUGUGAAGCCUUCUGCUUAACGGAAGAACGGCAGUUGAAACUACAGGGCUUGAGUGCGGGAGGGGAGAGUGGAACUUCUGGUGGAGCGGUGAAAUGCGUAGAUAUCAGAAGGAACGCCGGCGGCGAAAGCGGCUCUCUGGUCCGUAACUGACGCUGAGUGUGCGAAAGCUAGGGGAGCAAACGGGAUUAGAUACCCCGGUAGUCCUAGCCGUAAACGAUGGGCACUAAGUAGAGGGGUUUU